GGGCUUCUGAGUUUUAAUCUUCCUUUUUUUAGCCUAUGAAUUAAAUAAUUAAAUUACAUGAAGCUUAUAAAACAGUGAAGAGAAUAGCUUCUAGGGUAGGUAAUACAAACUUGAGGUCAGCAACUUAGUGGCACUGUGACACUGGCAAAUUAUUUAAAUUCAAUAACUAUGUUUCCUUCUCUUCUUUAAAUUUAGGAUAAAAAUAAUAUCUACCUGAUAGGAUUUUUUGGAAAAUUUCCAAAAGUGAAAAGACAUCUAAGUGGCAGAGCUCAGUGUCUGACAAGGAUUUUAAGCCUUGCUACUAAUUUGUAAAUUCCCACAUCAAAGCAGAACGGAGUUGAAUCACCUUGGCUGUAGCCUGCCUACUCCCAUGAAGCAAAGGACCGGGAGUGCCAGACACCUGUUCUGCAUCUUGCCUUUGCUACCCCCCAGCUCCAUGACCUUGGCCAAGAUAUCAACCUUAUGAUCCUCCAUUUCCUAAUUUAUAAGAUGGUGAUGAGGUUGAGGAGGAGGCUGAUAACUACCUCUUAGGAAUAUUCUGAAAAGUAAAUGAAACAGUGUUUGAAAGUGACUAGCAUACUGGACAUAAUAAAUAAUUAAUCAACAUUUGUUUAUUUUCUUUCCUCCCACAUAUUUUCUUCUGUAUAUCUUUCUUGGGCUGAAAUCAAUAGACCUACUCCCCCUUUUGGUAAUUCUUAGAAAUCUUGGAUUUCCUCCUUAUGAAGUAGGAUUUUAAUUAGACCUCUAAAUCUUGCACUCAAUGCACUAGCGGUUUAGCUGAGUGAAGAAUUUUCUAUGACAAUUGCUUAUAAGAAUAUCUUUAACAUUUUUGAGGUUUCUAGAGUGUUGAUGAGCUUUUUGGAGAGAGGGCUUAUUUUGUUGCUUUGUUGUUGUUUUUUUUUAAUACUAGUUAAUAAGAUUUGUAAAGACAGCUGGUCUAUCAUAGAGACAUCCCAAAAAUGGAAAAAAAGGCCCCCUGAAAAAAAGUCUGACCUGGAAUCCAAAUAGCUGAAUUGAAGAGCCCUUCUGGUAAGAAACCAAAUAUGUCAAAAGCUAGAAUGGUUGUUUCUUCAUGCUCUUAUGGGGAGAGGGGGCAUGGUGGGGAAUGGCCCUACCUCUGGAACAGCCAAUAAUUUAGUAGGAAGGGGCAACCAAAAAUCAAAAAUGUCCUUAUAGAAAACAUUUCAUGUCCUUAAAUAUUAUUCUUCAAAGUUUGUAAGAAACAUAUACAGUAGUACCCUCUUACCCACAGUUUUAGUUACUCAUGGUCAACCACAGUCCAGAAGUAGAUGACUUUCCUUGUGAUGUAUCAUCAGAAGGUCAGUAGUAGCUACAUCACAGUGCCUUCAUCAUCCACCUCACUUCAUCUCAUCGCCUAGCACUUUAUCACCGCACAUCAUCACAAGAAGGUCCUGUUAUUUCAUGACUCUGCUCAGAGCCCUCCAAGUCUUCUCUAGUACCAGUCUUAGAGCCAAAAACAGGUGACCAUGCAGAGCCCCCGUCUUCCCUCCUCCAACAUCCAUUGCAAGAUGAGUACCCCGAAGAGGAAUUCUCUGACCAAAUGGUC